GACAUGCAAGUCGUACGGAGUGGAAUGAGCUUGCUCGAUCCACUCAGUGGCGGACGGGAGAGUAAUGCAUGGGUAACGUACCCUGGACACGGGAAUAACCACGGGGCUUCGGCCUUUUUAGCGAAAGUGUGGCUAAUACCCGAUGAUGUCGCCUGAUCGCAUGGUCAGGCGCCCAAAGGUGGGGACCUUCGGGCCUGCCAGUCUGGGAUCGGCCCAUGUCUUAUCAGCUUGUUGGUAGGGUAAUGGCCUACCAAGGCUACGACGGGUAGCGGGCGUGAGAGCGUGACCCGCCUCAUCGGGACUGAGACACUGCCCGGACACCUACGGGUGGCUGCAGUAACGAAUAUUGGGCAAUGGGCGCAAGCCUGACCCAGCAAUGCCGCGUGCAGGAGGAAGCCUUUCGGGGUGUAAACUGCUGUCAGGGUUUAGCAAGCAAUGUAGGUUAAUAGCCUGCGGCGCUGAGCAGACCCAAAGGAAGCCUCGGCUAACUCUGUGCCAGCAGCCGCGGUAAGACAGAGGAGGCAAGCGUUGUUCGGAAUCACUGGGCUUAAAGCGGGUGUAGGCGGCUUGGUAAGUGUCCUGUGAAAGCCCACGGCUCAACCGUGGAAUUGCAGGGCAUACUGCCUGGCUUGAGGUUGGUAGAGGUGCCUGGAACUCUAGGUGGAGCGGUGAAAUGCGUAGAUAUCUAGAGGAACGCCAGAAGCGAAAGCGGGGCACUGGGCCAAUCCUGACGCUGAGACCCGAAAGCGUGGGGAGCAAACAGGAUUAGAUACCCUGGUAGUCCACGCCGUAAACGAUGCACACUAGGUGUCGGAGGCUCUGAUGCCCUCGGCGCCGAAGGAAAACUAAUAAGUGUGCCGCCUGGGGAGUACGGCCGCAAGGCUAAAACUCAAAGGAAUUGACGGGGGCUCACACAAGCGGUGGAGCAUGUGGCUUAAUUCGAAACAACGCGAAGAACCUUACCCAGGUUUGACAUGCUUGGAUGCUCUCCGGGGAUAACCCGGGGUAGCUGCCCUUCGGGGUGAAACUUGCACAGGUGUUGCACGGCUGUCGUCAGCUCGUGCUGUGAAGUGUCGAGUUAAGUCCCUUAACGAGCGAAACCCCUAUCGUUAGUUGCCAGCGGGUCAUGCCGGGGACUCUAGCGAGACUGCCGGCGUUAAGCCGGAGGAAGGUGGGGACGACGUCAAGUCAUCGUGGCCUUUAUGCCUGGGGAUGCACACGUGCUACAAUGGCCGCUACAGAGGGAAGCGAUACCGCGAGGUGGAGCAAAUCCCAAAAAAGCGGCCUCAUUUCGGAUUGGAGUCUGUAAUUCGACUCCAUGAAGUCGGAAUCGCUAGUAAUCGCGUAUCAGCUACGACGCGGUGAAUGUGUUCCUGAGCCUUGUACACACCGCCCGUCAAGUCAUGGAAGCUGGUAGCACCCGAAGUCCGCUUAGCUAACCAAUACUCUUGGAAGCGGCGGCCGACGGUGAGACUGGUGACUGGGACUAAGUCGGAACAAGGUA
rnacentral:rRNA from 1 species